rnacentral:rRNA from 1 species
GACGAACGCUGGCGGCGUGCUUAACACAUGCAAGUCGAACGGAAAGGCCCUGCUUUUGUGGGGUGCUCGAGUGGCGAAAGGGUGAGUAACACGUGAGUAACCUGCCCUUGACUUUGGGAUAACUUCAGGAAACUGGGGCUAAUACCGGAUAGGAGCUCCUGCUGCAUGGUGGGGGUUGGAAAGUUUCGGCGGUUGGGGAUGGACUCGCGGCUUAUCAGCUUGUUGGUGGGGUAGUGGCUUACCAAGGCUUUGACGGGUAGCCGGCCUGAGAGGGUGACCGGCCACAUUGGGACUGAGAUACGGCCCAGACUCCUACGGGAGGCAGCAGUGGGGAAUAUUGCACAAUGGGCGGAAGCCUGAUGCAGCAACUCCGCGUGCGGGAUGACGGCCUUCGGGUUGUAAACCGCUUUCGCCUGUGACGAAGCGUGAGUGACGGUAAUGGGUAAAGAAGCACCGGCUAACUACGUG